CCUACGGGCGGCUGCAGUAGGGAAUAUUGCUCAAUGGGGGAAACCCUGAAGCAGCAACGCCGCGUGGAGGAUGAAUGUUUUCGGAUUGUAAACUCCUUUUGUUAGAGAAGAUAAUGACGGUAUCUAACGAAUAAGCACCGGCUAACUCCGUGCCAGCAGCCGCGGUAAUACGGAGGGUGCAAGCGUUACUCGGAAUCACUGGGCGUAAAGCGCGCGUAGGCGGGAUAGCAAGUCAGAUGUGAAAUCCUAUGGCUUAACCAUAGAACUGCAUUUGAAACUGUUAUUCUAGAGUAUGGGAGAGGUAGGUGGAAUUCUUGGUGUAGGGGUAAAAUCCGUAGAGAUCAAGAGGAAUACUCAUUGCGAAGGCGACCUGCUAGAACAUAACUGACGCUGAUGCGCGAAAGCGUGGGGAGCAAACAGGAUUAGAUACCCUAGUAGUC
rnacentral:rRNA from 1 species